rnacentral:misc_RNA from 1 species
GAAUUGAACAAGUACCCACCAGGUCCUGUUACUGCUCCACCACUACCACCAGGGCCAAUUUCUCUACUGUCACUCCAAGAACGAAGUCUCUGAUGCAUAGACCAGCCAGAGGUGUCAAAACCAAGUGGGGUGUUUCCUCCAAAGUGGGCUGGUGCUUGACCCUGCACUUGCUCUUGUUCCCUAUGGUUAGUUUGGUUAUGGUGUUGAGCUUGCUG